UUAGGCCACUCCCCCUCCCCCCCACUCAGUGCAUGAGCACGCAUGAAAAACUGAUCGUGUGCAUCACCCGCCGUGAGUUUCCUCCUCCUGCCUACUGUCCCUGCUGAGCCUCUGAUCUCAUCACUUACGGGACCAUUGCCACUAAUUGCAAAGACCCUUCUGUAGUUUUCAACAUUCUCAUGUUGUCACUCUCAUGUGAUUGAGAACAGCCACUACUUCAAACGGACUCUUUUUAUGUCAAAUAAUGGAAACACUAGGGACUACAAGCUCUAUUUAGUCACAUCCCCAGCUUAUUGAGCUUUAUAAAUCAUUUCCUUAUUAUUUUGUUUUUGUUUUUUGCUUAUGCAUCUAUUAGAACACUAGUAUAGUAUGGCGUCGGUGUUUUGAUUAUUUUGCUUCAUCCUGCUUUGUGGUUCACAGUGAUAAAAAGGUAAAGCCAAAUUGCAUCAGUCAUAUGCGGCCUGCAGAAAAUGUAUAUAGAAUUUUUCGGUAAGUUUUGUGUCUCGUUGAUGCAUUGCCACAGGCAUGAGGCCUAUUUUUUGUCGUUUUCUGAAAGCACUAGACGAUCACCAAUUCCCCUUAAGUUAUCCAUCUGUGGUUUUUGUGGAUGGUCUCGUGGAGUGUUCGGUCUCUAGGAAGUGGUUGUUGUGACCGCGUGGAUGAAGCAUUACAAAAGAGGCAGAGGGAUAUUUGAUUGGGAGAUUUUUGUUUUUAUUUUGUAAACCAGUAGCAUUCAAGAAAGUUCUCUAGUGGUAGGUGAGUAUAGUUUUAUUCAUUCAGUUGUCAAAUUUGCAAAGCUGGUUUGGGAUUAUGUUUUUCCCCCUUUGUUUUGUCUUUUAAAAUUGUCACUGACAACGAUUAGCUUCUGUGUGGGAACUCAACAGUUCCUCACUCUUCAUUUAUAAUAAGUACAAUUAAAUAGCCACAAAAGAGAAGAUAAAAAAAAGCCUUUAACUCUGAGACAAAUU